CGGCGUGCCUAACACAUGCAAGUCGAGCGAACAGACGAGGAGCUUGCUUCUCUGACGUUAGCGGCGGACGGGUGAGUAACACGUGGAUAACCUACCUAUAAGACUGGGAUAACUUCGGGAAACCGGAGCUAAUACCGGAUAAUAUAUUGAACCGCAUGGUUCAAUAGUGAAAGACGGUUUGCUGUCACUUAUAGAUGGAUCCGCGCCGCAUUAGCUAGUUGGUAAGGUAACGGCUUACCAAGGCAACGAUGCGUAGCCGACCUGAGAGGGUGAUCGGCCACACUGGAACUGAGACACGGUCCAGACUCCUACGGGAGGCAGCAGUAGGGAAUCUUCCGCAAUGGGCGAAAGCCUGACGGAGCAACGCCGCGUGAGUGAUGAAGGUCUUCGGAUCGUAAAACUCUGUUAUUAGGGAAGAACAAAUGUGUAAGUAACUAUGCACGUCUUGACGGUACCUAAUCAGAAAGCCACGGCUAACUACGUGCCAGCAGCCGCGGUAAUACGUAGGUGGCAAGCGUUAUCCGGAAUUAUUGGGCGUAAAGCGCGCGUAGGCGGUUUUUUAAGUCUGAUGUGAAAGCCCACGGCUCAACCGUGGAGGGUCAUUGGAAACUGGAAAACUUGAGUGCAGAAGAGGAAAGUGGAAUUCCAUGUGUAGCGGUGAAAUGCGCAGAGAUAUGGAGGAACACCAGUGGCGAAGGCGACUUUCUGGUCUGUAACUGACGCUGAUGUGCGAAAGCGCGGGGAUCAAAC
rnacentral:rRNA from 1 species